GACGACCCCUCGGUCGGCGCAUCUUCACACGCAAGAACCAAUGCUGAUCAGCUGUGGUAAACCGGCGCUUCAACACGACGUUUUCGAUCUGCUCUUGGAAGGGGACAAUAGAAACCGUGAGAUGAGCUGAAAGUGGAUGUGCGGUGUGUAGAUUAGGAAAAAACACAAUUAUUUGCUAAACUUUAUUUUCAUUCGGAUAGUGAUUAUUGCCGAAAGCGGCGCAUUGUGAGUUUAUUAUGCCAUGAAUUGUUAAUCUAAUUACCUGAACUUAACUUGAACUAUACAAUUUCUUUUUCUAAGAUAACUUAAAACUAAAUAGUACGGAGUGAUAGCUAGAGAGUACGGAUUAUCGAUUACUGAAUAGAUGCCCUGAACUAAUUGCAAGACGUGGACACCUAUGUAUAAUAGAUACGGCUUUCCUUGAACGCAUCACCAGUACCGUAAUUAGGAGUGACUUAGAAUCCUCCAAUAGACCCAAAAAUUGUCAAAGAAGACCAAUUAGACCGGAGAUAGAAAACUAAACGUAAGCCAUUAAGUCAAGUAUAUUGUUCCAUAUUACGUGAAUUUGUAUUAACUUGCAGGAUUUUUUUAAUACACAUUAUUAAAAUUACGGAAUUCUGGUUUCUGGUCGUUUUUUUGAC